ACACUGUAUCAAUAUUGUUGAGGUCCAGGCUCUGGCGAGGCCAAGCCACGACUGUUUUCCAUUGGCAGUGUGUUUGGGAUCAUUGUCAUUCUGAAAAAUGAAGCUGUUCCAGCUUCAGCUUCAUUCCAAAUGCUUUUGCAUGGCGGUUGAAAAGCUGAUGGCACAUUUCUGCAUUCAUUCAUCAAUUCUGACAUGAUCACCAACACUAUACUCAUUAACAAUGAUCUAAACCAAAAGUCAAAGUUUCUCUCUCUCCAUAUACAUAAAUAUAUAUAUACACACAUGUAUGUCAGUGGCUUCACACUUGUUCUUUUCAGUAGCUUUAGUAAGUGAUAGAGGGUAGAUCAGAGGCAAGAGCUGCAGUGACUAUAAUUGUAUUUCCAUUAUAAUGAGAGAACUAAAAAUUUGCCUCACAAAUAUAUCCCUAUUUUCACAGCCUGACUAUUUGAACUCUUACAGUGACUUAGCACAUUAACAUGAUUUCCUCUUAAAAGCAGAAGCAAAUAGCAAAACUGGUUUUCGUUUUAAAUUGAAAAGAUUUUUUUCUUCUUCUUUCAGUUUUUCAGACAUGCAGUUUAUUCAUACAGCAGAAUAAGAACAGAUGGGGUAAAUAACAGUACUCUGCCAUGAAGUUAAAUGUAUAAAUAAUUCUGUUGAUUAGACAGAUUCAAACUAAAAGGCACAAAAAACCAUCUCUCAAAGAAAAAACAAACAAACAACUUCUCAACCUUUCAGUGUGUUUGUAGUAUAUUGGGGCCUGUGGAGUGCUUCUUACAUGCUGUGAAAUGCUUCUGACUAUGUGUGGUCUGGACUAUCGUUUUAUAAUGUGGCAAUAGAUCAAAUUACACAAACUGUUUUCGUAUUUGGUUGCACAUUUGGAUUGCAUUUUAGGUUUGGGCAGUAUUAAGUUUGAAAACGCUUUCUGAGGGAACUCAAUAUGGGGCGUUGUGAAACUGAUUAAUGGUGGAGCAAAGAGUUGGCAUUGUUUCAGCACCAACCACCAGCAACAGACUCUAGAUAAUGAUCAAACCUUCCUGAGCAGCACCUUACAGCAGAUGCAUUCAUAUCAACAAAUUUGUCUCUCAAAAACCCCCAAACAGUUCUGCCAUUAUUGUUGCACAUGCACGCUAUGAAACCACAAAAUACCAGUUCUAGACUUUCCUAUGCAAACAAAAUGUUAGGUAUGUCUGAGAAUGUGGUGGACAUUCUCAGACUUUCAGUUGUGGUGUGGCAACAGUCUCAAAAAGGUCAAACAGGUCAAAAAGUCUGAGUUUCUUCAGGGAAACUUCUCUUUAAAGAGGAGCAAGUUUUGAAUUUGUGCUGUGAUGUUUUAGGAACUUGGGGCCAAAACAUAAAUCACAUAACCUAACCUAAAGCUAAAGAAACACAACAAAAUAUAACUUCUAUUUCAAACAUUUUCAAAUUCACAUUAAAAUGUCACACAUGGUGGCUUUAAGACUUCAUCGAUUCACUUGUAAGUAGUAAUUGCAUGCCACAAACUUCUGUAUUUCCUGAUUUGGAUGCAUUGCCCUUCUCAGAGAGGUCCAGAAUUGAUGAAAGCUUGUUGGCUUUCUUCUGAUUUUUCAAAUCUUUUAGUAAAGUCCCGAUGUCUCGAGAAUCGUGUCAUCUCUCGCAGGUUCGUCUGCAAUGCGAGUUAGUCUUCUUGAGGAAGAAACACCACCACCAUGUUCUGGUUAAAACGUUUCUUCAAUUGUGGAGAGAAACUUCUUUCUGGUUACUGUACAUACUUCCGCAAUCAGCUGCUGUUGGCUGUUAAUCUUCUCAUUUUGGCAGUUUCUUUGAUAAUCAAGAUCUGCUCUUGAUUAAGCUAAGAAUAUAAAAAAUAAAGUGACAAUUCAAGUGCAAACAAGUUCUUGCAUGCCUUUACCUGGCAUCAGAUAUUUUCUGCAACUCACUUGACCGAACAAAUGCUUCCACUUCCGUUUGUUUACCCCAUAAGUACAUAAUCAUCUGGACAUUCGUCUUUAGAUGAGCACUCAGAUUCAGACUGAGGCUGAAGUGCUGCAGGAAUAUUAACUGUAGCAUAGUCGCAGUCGUCGUCGGUGAUCUGGUUUGUCGGUGGUCUGUUAUGUCUUGCUCCUUUGGCUUUGUCGUGGUUAAUAGAAGCAUACGUUACAUCUUCGUUGGGUUGCUGGAAGAGAGAGAGUGAGAUGGGUGAUCAUCUACCCGUAUUGUGCCCAUCAAAUAAUUUAUUCUACUUUUUACACUGUGUUUCUGCAGCUGGCAUAUUUUGAAAUGUGUCUACAUGCCGCGGGUUCCUGUGUAGUUUGUUUUACGGCAGAAGCCUCAUGUUAAUCUUCUCCAAGUAUGUAAAUCCAAAGUGGAACACACCCAUGUCUUAUGAAAAUCAUGAGCUGAUAACGGUGAAGAUUUAUGGUCAACAGAAAUAGAACCAAAAUUAAUGCGGGGAUGUCUACCUUGUCAUUCGCGGUCUUAUCAUCUGGUUCAGAAUCCCCUGAAAGAGGAAAUAUGGAAAAAUCAUAAAAUUAUAAUAGUUUUUUCUUUUGUUUAUGAUAUUUAUCACAUUUAUACUGGGGAAAGUAACACAAAAGCAAUAAGAAAUUAGUAAUACAAAAUAGCUUUUACCUUUCUCUUUCUUCUUUCUGAAAAUAAAGCAAAUUGAAACGAUAAGCUACCAAGGACCACAAUGUUAGCACACACAGAAGAAUAACGCCUUUGGAUAAUACUGCUUAUUGAGUCAUAUGUCUUUCACCUCAAUAAAUCAUAUAAAAUAUUAUCUGUGGCAGCAGGUGUGGGCUUUAGCCUACAGCAGUGUUUCCUUGACAGCUUUAACAAUUAAGCGCUUGUGCUGCAACAGGAAACACUUUACAUAGACCUACAAUCAACACCUGUUUAUAACCAACUGAAUAUGGCAGUGAAUAACCAACGAGGGCAUCACGCUUUGCAUAUUUCUAGACUUGCCAUUUUAGACGGUAAUAUAUUGAAUAUGUAACGCAACAGCAAAAUAUGUUCUUUGUAUUUGACUUAGUUCUUGUAAGAAGACAACCAGAACCCAGGGCUAUUUUUAUCUCGUAACCACGGUUUCCUUGCUAGAGGAAAUGUAGAAACUUCUUGUAAAAAACUGCACAAUCAUUUCAUUUAAACUUUUUUUUUUUUUAUAAAUAUUUUCGCUGUAGUUAAUUCACAAAUACCUUAAAUAUAUUUUCUGCAUUUACAGCAGUUAAAGGAGUGUUUUAGAAUACAUCACAUUCUGAUGAAUAACUUUGUAAUAUAUGAAAGUCCCCACUUAUAGGAAUGUGUGAAUGAAUGUAUGAGCGUGUAUGAUGACUUACCCUGAAGCACAGUUUCCCAUGACGAUCCCACAGAGUGCCUGGUUGCUGGAGAAGGGCCCCUCGGCCUGACGCUGUAGUAGAUAUGAGCUGAUCGCUUCCUUGCAUCAAACUGCAUAUAGGCCACAGUAGUGAGGAAGUGGUAGAAAAGAGAGGCAGAGUGAGAAUGAGGGAGAGAGAGAGAGAGAGAGCAAGUGAGAGAGAGAGAAGCAAAUGUGCUAUCACACCAAUAGGAAAAUAACAGUACUGAUGUAGAGGAAAACGGUCAGUACUAACAAACAGCAUACAAAAUAUAAUGUGACACAUUGAUAUUAAUACGGAAAUGCUGUAACACUUUGCUGACACAAAAUACUAAAUUUUUUGAGCGCUCUAUUCAUAUAAAAUUGUGUAUAUCUAUAUGGAUGUACUUGUAUGUAUGUGGAUAUAUUGGUUUGUUGGGGGUUUUUUUUAUGUCAGAAAUAAAAGGUCAUCAUCAUCGUCACCUACUGUAUUUGCUGUAGUUUAAAAUAUUUGCCAUUGAGCAAACAUGAAAUAUCUGCAUCGUGAGAUAACACAGAAGUGAGUAGUUACUGUAAUGUAUUUUGUUGUCAGUGUAUGGUGUCAUUUGCAUGUCUGUGUAAAUAUUUUUGAUGUGCAACAACAGGAAGUCAGUGAUCUUUGCUACAUGGAAAGUCCAGGUUUGGUUCACAAACUAUUUAUUGUCAGCAGGAAAAAGAACCACACCUUCAUAUUCAUUCAGAGAAAUGUCUGGAUAUGCACCACCUAGUAACACUCUGUACAGGAAAGGCUCAAAGAAUGAGCUCAGAGUGGACAAACUGAAGACUUAUCACAUCAUUUUCUUUUCUCUAAUGAUGAAAUAAAUUAUCAGAUAAUCACACCAGAUAAUCAUCUUUACUGAUAUGUUUUCAAAUAUAAUAAAAACAUUGCAAAUUU
ensembl:lncRNA